rnacentral:rRNA from 1 species
GAUGAACGCUGGCGGCGUGCCUAAUACAUGCAAGUCGAGCGAACAGACGAGGAGCUUGCUCCUCUGACGUUAGCGGCGGACGGGUGAGUAACACGUGGAUAACCUACCUAUAAGACUGGGAUAACUUCGGGAAACCGGAGCUAAUACCGGAUAAUAUAUUGAACCGCAUGGUUCAAUAGUGAAAGACGGUUUUGCUGUCACUUAUAGAUGGAUCCGCGCCGCAUUAGCUAGUUGGUAAGGUAACGGCUUACCAAGGCGACGAUGCGUAGCCGACCUGAGAGGGUGAUCCGCCACACCUGAACCUGAGCACGGGCCAAGCUCCUACGGGGAGCAAGAGGAGGGAAUUCUCCGGAAAGGGCGAAAGCCUGACGGAGCAACGCCGCGUGAGUGAUGAAGGUCUUCGGAUCGUAAAACUCUGUUAUUAGGGAAGAACAAAUGUGUAAGUAACUAUGCACGUCUUGACGGUACCUAAUCAGAAAGCCACGGCUAACUACGUG